rnacentral:SRP_RNA from 1 species
GCUGGGUGUGGUGGUGGGCACCUGUAAUCCCAGCUACUUGGGAGGCUGAGGCAGAAGAAUUGCUUGAACCUGGGAGGCAGAGGUUGCAGUGAGCUGAGAUCAUGCCACUGCACUCCAGCCUGGGUGACAGAGCGAGACUCUGUCUCAA